UACGAAGGUCCCGAGCGUUAUUCGGAAUCACUGGGCGUAAAGGGUGCGUAGGCGGCUCCCUCAGUCAGCGGUGAAAUGUAUCGGCUUAACCGAUAAACUGCCGUUGAUACUGGGGAGCUUGAGUUGGGUUGAGGCAGGCGGAAUGUGCGGUGUAGCGGUGAAAUGCAUAGAUAUCGCACAGAACGCCGAUUGCGUAGGCAGCUUGCCAAGCCCACACUGACGCUGAGGCACGAAAGCGUGGGGAUCAAACAGG
rnacentral:rRNA from 1 species